rnacentral:rRNA from 1 species
CAGUCGCCACGGGAAUACGUAGGGUGCAAGCGUUAAUCGGAAUUACUGGGCGUAAAGCGUGCGCAGGCGGUUAUAUAAGACAGAUGUGAAAUCCCCGGGCUCAACCUGGGAACUGCAUUUGUGACUGUAUAGCUAGAGUACGGCAGAGGGGGAUGGAAUUCCGCGUGUAGCAGUGAAAUGCGUAGAUAUGCGGAGGAACACCGAUGGCGAAGGCAAUCCCCUGGGCCUGUACUGACGCUCAUGCUCGAAAGCGUGGGGAGCAAACAGGAUUAGAUACCCCCGUAGUCCCUGUCUCUUAUAC